rnacentral:rRNA from 1 species
UAGGGAAUCUUCGGCAAUGGACGAAAGUCUGACCGAGCAACGCCGCGUGAGUGAAGAAGGUUUUCGGAUCGUAAAACUCUGUUGUUAGAGAAGAACAAGGACGUUAGUAACUGAACGUCCCCUGACGGUAUCUAACCAGAAAGCCACGGCUAACUACGUGCCAGCAGCCGCGGUAAUACGUAGGUGGCAAGCGUUGUCCGGAUUUAUUGGACGUAAAGCGAGCGCAGGCGGUUUCUUAAGUCUGAUGUGAAAGCCCCCGGCUCAACCGGGGAGGGUCAUUGGAAACUGGGAGACUUGAGUGCAGAAGAGGAGAGUGGAAUUCCAUGUGUAGCGGUGAAAUGCGUAGAUAUAUGGAGGAACACCAGUGGCGAAGGCGGCUCUCUGGUCUGUAACUGACGCUGAGGCUAGAAAGCGUGGGGAGCAAACAGG